AUGGCAGAGCAAAAUUCAUGACCCACAGCCGCCUCUUGCCAAACCGCACUGGAUUUUGUGUCUCCCAUUCCCCAGAGCUGUCUGAGGUGCUUUG
ensembl:miRNA